rnacentral:rRNA from 1 species
UACGUAGGUGGCAAGCGUUGUCCGGAAUUAUUGGGCGUAAAGCGCGCGCAGGCGGUUCCUUAAGUCUGAUGUGAAAGCCCCCGGCUCAACCGGGGAGGGUCAUUGGAAACUGGGGAACUUGAGUGCAGAAGAGAAGAGCGGAAUUCCACGUGUAGCGGUGAAACGCGUAGAGAUGUGGAGGAACACCAGUGGCGAAGGCGGCUCUUUGGUCUGUAACUGACGCUGAGGCGCGAAAGCGUGGGGAGCAAACAGG